CCUACGGGAGGCAGCAGUGGGGGAUAUUGCACAAUGGGGGGAACCCUGAUGCAGCGACGCCGCGUGGGUGAAGGAGUGCUUCGGCAUGUAAAGCCCUAUCGGCAGGGAAGAAGCAAGACGGUACCUGACUACGAAGCCCCGGCUAACUACGUGCCAGCAGCCGCGGUAAUACGGAGGGGGCGAGCGUUAUCCGGAUUCACGGGGUGUAAAGGGGGCGUAGACGGCCAUGCAAGCCAGGGGUGAAAGCCCGGGGCCCAACCCCGGGACUGCCCUUGGAACUGUGCGGCUAGAGUGCGGGAGGGGCAGGCGGAAUUCCUGGUGUAGCGGUGAAAUGCGUAGAUAUCAGGAGGAACACCGGCGGCGAAGGCGGCCUGCUGGACCGCGACUGACGUUGAGGCUCGAAAGCGUGGGGAGCGAACAGGAUUAGAUACCCCGGUAGUC
rnacentral:rRNA from 1 species